GGAUAUGAGGGCGAUCUAGCUGCGACAUCUGUCACCCAUUGAUCGCCAGGGUUGAUUCGGCUGAUCUGGCUGGCUAGGCGGGUGUCCCCUUCGUCCCUCACCACUCCAUGUGCAUCCCUCCCAAAGCUGCGCGCUCGGUCGAAGAGGACGACCUUCCCCGAUAGAGGAGGACCAUUCUUCGGUCAAGGGUAUAUGAGUAGCUGCACUCCCCUGCUAGACGCUCCAAACAAGCUCUCAAGGUCCAUUUGUAGGAGAACGUAGGGUAGUCAAGCUUCCAAGACUCCAGACACAUCCAAAUGAGGCGCUGCAUGUGGCAGUCUGCCUUUCUUA
rnacentral:snRNA from 1 species